AUAGCCACUGUGGACACUAGAAAGUAUCAGAACUGUCAGAUCCAAAAAUCAAGUGAAAAAAGGUUUAUUUUGAUGAUUUAUAAAAGAAAUAUCACCACUGCAAAUUAAAGCUAUUUACAAAUUUAAAAAUAAAUUUAUAGAAAUUAUUCACAUCAUAUUACACAUUAAGCAGUUUUAUUAAAAUGUUCCAGGUAGUGUUGAAUAAACAUAUAGCAUAAACUAAGUUCUAAAUCACAUAAAAGCCCUCAAAGUAUCUUCAAAAUCCACUGGAAGAUGGCCCAGGA